AUUGAACGCUGGCGGCAGGCCUAACACAUGCAAGUCGAACGAGUGGCGGACGGGUGAGUAAUCUAUGGGAAACUGCCCGAUAGGGGGGGAUAACUACUGGAAAGGGUAGCUAAUACCGCAUACUAUCGGAUGUGCCCAUAUGGGAUUAGCUAGUAGGUGGGGUAAAGGCUCACCGAGGCAACGAUCCCUAGCUGGUCUGAGAGGAUGACCAGCCACACUGGGACGGAGCCACGGCACAGACUCCUACGGGAGGCAGCAGUGGGGAAUAUUGCACAAUGGGAGCAAGCCUGAUGCAGCCAUGCCGCGUGUAUGAAGAAGGCCUUCGGGUUGUAAAGUACUUUCAGCGGGGAGGCGUUACCCGCAGAAGAAGCACCGGCUAACUCCGUGCCAGCAGCCGCGGUAAUAC
rnacentral:rRNA from 1 species